rnacentral:tRNA from 1 species
AGAAGGGUGCCAGAGUGGUUUAAUGGGCACGCUUGGAAAGCGUGUGUACCCUUAUCGGUACCGCGAGUUCGAAUCUCGUCCCUUCUG